AGAGUUUGAUCCUGGCUCAGAUUGAACGCUGGCGGCAUGCCUUACACAUGCAAGACGAACGGCAGCACGGGGGCAACCCUGGUGGCGAGUGGCGAACGGGUGAGUAACAUAUCGGAACAUACCCUAGAGUGGGGGAUAACGUAGCGAAAGUUACGCUAAUACCGCAUACGAUCUAAGGAUGAAAGCGGGGGAUCUUCGGACCUCAUGCUCAUGGAGUGGCCGAUAUCUGAUUAGCUAGUUGGUGAGGUAAAGGCUCACCAAGGCGACGAUCAGUAGCUGGUUUGAGAGAACGACCAGCCACACUGGAACUGAGACACGGUCCAGACUCCUACGGGAGGCAGCAGUGGGGAAUUUUGGACAAUGGGGCCAACCCUGAUCCAGCAAUGCCGCGUGAGUGAAGAAGGCCUUCGGGUUGUAAAGCUCUUUUGUCAGGGAAGAAACGGUGAGUUCUAAUACAGCUUGCUAAUGACGGUACCUGAAGAAUAAGCACCGGCUAACUACGUGCCAGCAGCCGCGGUAAUACGUAGGGUGCAAGCGUUAAUCGGAAUUACUGGGCGUAAAGCGUGCGCAGGCGGUUAUAUAAGUCAGAUGUGAAAUCCCUGGGCUCAACCUAGGAACUGCAUUUGAGACUGUAUGGCUAGAGUGUGUCAGAGGGGGGUAGAAUUCCACGUGUAGCAGUGAAAUGCGUAGAGAUGUGGAGGAAUACCGAUGGCGAAGGCAGCCCCCUGGGAUAACACUGACGCUCAUGCACGAAAGCGUGGGGAGCAAACAGGAUUAGAUACCCUGGUAGUCCACGCCCU
rnacentral:rRNA from 1 species